GGGAUUCGAAGUGGAUCAGUUUGGUGAUGUUCUGAAACUCCACAGUAAAUUAAUGAACCCAUGCAUCUGUGUGGUUAAUCCUGGGUUAUGCAAAGAAGAUGCCCUUUGAUUGAUAGCAGUUCAACUCACAGCUUUGUGAGUCCUCAGGUAAUCAAGGCUCUAAGACUGUCUAUAGUUCCUUGUUAUACUAGGAUGAAGUUAACAGUUGCU
rnacentral:misc_RNA from 1 species